ACCUAUGGCCAUACCAGUCUGAAAGUGCCUGAUCUCGUCAGGUCUCAGAAGUCAUCUGUACUCAGGUCUGGUUAGUACUUGUAUGGGAGACAAACUAAGAACCUCAAGUGCCAUAAGCU